rnacentral:lncRNA from 1 species
CCUGUUCUGGAGGGAUGCCUCCGAACAGACACCUCUUCUUCGCACCUCUUCCAGAUAUAUAUAUAUACUUGAUAAUCAAUAAAAACAGGACUAAUCGUCCAUUCACUUUCAUUCAAUCUCGUUUUACUCUAACACAAAUUAUCUGGCACCGACCCUUGCCUUGGGUGCUGACGCAGUGACGCAGUGACGCGGAUCAUGCCCGUUCAAGCGAAAGCACACUUAACUCUGUCGCAAACCCAAUUAAUCCUGGCCAUGCAAAAUCGCCUGUGCCGGCUCUCGAAGAAAAUCGUGUAGGAGUACAGUACAACACUCCACAGGUGAUUACCAGCCAGGUUGGCGCCAAUUUCAGUAUCCCGUCCCUAUGGCUGUGCCGGUCGUCACACGUGGAACGGCUCCAGCGAGCCGUCGACCAGGCCUGCGCCGCCGCAGCACCCGUCUUCACCGUCGUCGUCGUCCUCCUCCUCGCCGCACCCGUUCAGCCACGUAAGGUUCUUGGGGUCCUCCCGCAGCAGCAUGGCGUCGUACCGCGUGCUCGGGAACGCGUCCGGCGCCUUGACCGCGACCUUGUCUUCC